AAUAUUUAGGAUAUUGUCUUUAACACCUACACAUCCUAACACACGCAGAUAGAGAAACUCGCCUCCGCCGAGCAUCCCCCCCCCCUUCCCCUGUCCUCUCCUCCCUCACCUACCCCCCCGAUUCCCUUUCCCUCCCCCUCAGCGUCACCUCUUCACACACCUGAAGAAAAGUCAAGUUGAAACUCUCUCUCACAACAUGCCGCGGAGGAAGCAGCAAGCACCCAAACGGGCUGCAGUUUAUGUCCCAGAUGAAGACUUGAAGACAGGAGAACUGAGAGAAAGAGAAGAUGCCAGUCCUUCUGCUGCAGAAUUACAAGGUAAUGGUUACAUGUGCACUGAGGAGGAAGAGGAGGAGGAAGAAGAAAGCAAAGGCAGUUACAGCUACCAGAAUUCUCCAGUCAGUGCAAUGUCCAAUCCGGAUGCAGAGUGUGAAUCGCACCUCAGUGAUACCAGUGACAGAUUGGCUGAUUUUAAAAGUAUUUCUUCCCGGGAUGGACAGGAAAAGGAAGAGCAAUCAAAUGGAGAGAUAAAGAAUGGCCAACAGAACAGUUUAGGAGCAAUGAGAGCUGUUUAUGCUAGCUUUCUGUCUGAUUCAUAUUGGUCAAGUCUGGGAUUUGACCUCAAACAAUCAAAGACUGAAAGGACAAGCUGCAAAAGCAGCAACGAAAGCACCAAAAGUAGUUUUGAUUGGCACCAAGAUGCGUUAUCCAAAACAUUUCAACAGACAUCCUCUGGUAGGCCAGUGCCGAAACCAAAUCUUUUCAGUUCAGUACAGUUGUACAGGCAAAAUAACAAGUUGUUUGGGACUGUUUUCACAGGUGCCAGUAGGUUUCGCUGCAGAGAAUGUAGUGCAGCAUAUGACACUUUGGUAGAGUUAACUGUACACAUGAAUGAUACAGGACAUUACCAAGACGAUAAUCACGAAAAGGAUGUGGACCACAACAGCAGUUGGACAAAGUCACGAAAACGGGCUUUGCAGGACAUUGAUGGGAUGCACGAUGCCCAGAAAGUUUUAAAGUGUAUGUACUGCGGACAUUCAUUUGAUUCCCUCCAAGAUUUGAGUGUUCAUAUGAUUAAAACAAAACAUUACCAGAAAGUGCCUCUGAAGGAACCUAUGCCUCCUAUUGGAUCAAAGUUAGUCCCUCCGACAAAAAAACGAGCCCAGCAUGAAGUUAACCAGCCUUGUUCACCAGAUUCAACAACUGGAGUUGCAGGUACUUUUGCAGGUGAAGCACAAAAGAAUUCAAAUCCCUAUGUGUCCUCUAACAAUCGCUAUGGUUAUCAAAACGGUGCCAGCUAUACCUGGCAGUUCGAAGCCUGUAAGUCUCAAAUUCUGAAGUGCAUGGAAUGUGGAAGCUCACAUGAUACACUACAGCAGCUCACAGCUCAUAUGAUGGUAACGGGGCACUUUCUUAAGGUAACAAACUCUGCGUCAAAGAAGGGAAAACAGAUUGUUUUUGACCCUUUGGCUGUCGACAAAGCACAGUCAGUUACUGAAGGACCAUCAAAUGAAAUCCAACUUUUGGCACCAGUCAGCAAAUUGCCUCCAGAUUCAUUAACACCCUCAGUUUCAGAAGAUAACAAAACCCAUGAAGAAAAGCAAGAAAUGUCAGAAGACUUGGAAAAACAGCAUAAAGAUAAAGAUGAUUGCAAAGAUGAUAACCUGGAGAAGAUCUUUGAUCCAUCGCUUCAGUAUCAGUACAUACGGGAAGAAGAUCUAGAAGAGAGCUCAAAGGGAGGUGGUGAUAUUCUUAAAUCCCUUGAAAACACUGUUACUUCAGCCAUCAACAAAGCCCAAACUGGGAGCCCAAGCUGGAGUGCUUAUCCCAGCAUUCAUGCUGCCUAUCAGCUCCCCGGUAUUAUUAAACCUGUGCAACUUGGUACUCAAAUAUUACAAGUUAAGCCAAACCUGAAACCAAUAGCUCCAAAAGUCAGAUAUUUCUCUGUUAUUACAAGUAACCAAAACCAACCCCUUCAAUCCAACAGUGACCAAAUUAAAGAAGAGCCUAUUAGUCCAUCUCAUGAACAACUUUCAUCCAAAUUGGAAGAAAGCAAUAUUGAGAAAAAGGAUCCAACAUUAAAUCUUCAAUCUGGGGUAAUUUCACCAUGUAAGAUGGAAACUGAGAGCCCAAUAAAAACAGAAACUCUGCCUGAUCAGCCAAGGACGCAUUCACCUUGUUUGAAAGAUGAUGAAGAAGCAAAAGAAAGGUUCAAGAAAGAGCCUGUAAAAAAUGACACGGGAUCUCCAAAUUUUUCAAUGACCAAUGGUUGCUCUGGAAUGACUGUUAUCACAGACCAUCCAUCUGAACAACUUUCUGUCAGUCCACUUAGUGCAUUGCAGUCUAUCAUGAACACUCAUCUUGGCAAAGCUGCCAAGCCCCUUAAUUCAAACUCAGACCCAGUAACUAUGUUAUGUCGACUCAAUAAAAGUUUGCUGGAGAAAUCAACUUCGCCGCCAAGUUUAGUCAAACCGUCUAGUCUUGCUGAUCGAUAUUACUAUGAAAGUAGUGAUCAGCCAAUAGAUCUCACAAAAUCUAAGAGUGACAAAGCUGCCCAAUCAAACCCGGUCAAAUCCUUUACUUCAUUACCUUCCAAACAUGCUUUAUCUGAUAUUGCAGACAUGGUAAAAGUCCUCCCUAAAGGCACAACACCAAAACCUUCUACCUCAUCAAAGAUAACAGCAGAGAGGUUAGAGACUGAUGUGAGGAGCUUCGAAGACGUGUCAAUGGAAUUUUUACCAGUUCAGAAAAGAAAAGGUAGGCAGUCAAACUGGAAUCCCCAGCAUCUUCUCAUUCUGCAGGCCCAGUUUGCUGCCAGCCUUUGGCAAACAGGUGAAGGCAAAUAUCUAUUAUCAGACCUAGGUCCACAAGACCGCAUGCAUAUUUCAAAGUUUACUGGACUCACCAUGACUACCAUAAGUCAUUGGCUUGCCAAUGUGAAAUAUCAACUAAGAAAGACAGGUGGAACAAAAUUCCUGAAGAACUUAGACACAGGGCACCCAAUUUUCUACUGCAACGAUUGUGCCUCCCAGUUUAGGACUCCUUCCACUUAUAUUGGUCAUUUAGAAUCCCAUUUGGGCUUCACUAUGAAAGAUAUGGCAAAAAUUUCUGUACAGCAUGCCAGAGGAGAGCAAGAAGUCUCAAAAGUGACAUCUGAGAAGUCAGCAGGGCCAUUGGUAACAGAUGAGGACACAGGCAGCAAGUUCCAGUGUAAUCUGUGUAAUCGAACUUUUGCUAGCAAGCACGCAGUAAAACUUCACCUCAGCAAAACGCAUGGCAAGUCACCAGAGAAUCAUUCGCAGUAUGUAACUGAAUUAGAGGAAGAGUAACAACUCAAGAGUUUGUGAUCACUGGGGGAAGCCUUCUGAGGAGUCGGGAACAUUCUGAUGCAUGCCCAGCUUCCUUCUAUCAUCUCAGAUUGACAUUUGGUUAUCUGCCAAGCAAGAAGCCCACAUAAUCAUAGCAACACAAGCAAAAAUGCUGUACCACAGAUGUUGGCAGAAGAAAGCCGAGUGGCUUUGUAUAUGAUACAGUCACAAAAGACUUGAAGGUUAAAAUGUGACUUUUUUUUUGAAAAGAAGUGUAUUGGAACUAAAUAAACCUUCAAAGAGA